GAAAGGGAAAGCGACAUCCGCUGUUUUUUUGUAAACAAUAGGAAUUUGAGGAACAUUGCGAGAUUGUCAUCGGUGGAGUCUUCUGGCGAUGACAGUGUAAAACUGUUGAUACGAGGAUUGCUGGCGGCGUUGGCCAGAUUUUGUUGCUGGCGAAUUUUGCAGAACGGAUGGUUUUUCAUUUUAAAUGAUGUUGCUGCCAGACAGGUCAGUACCUGGCCACCAGUGUGGCCGCGUGUUGGUUUUUGGUACGUCCGGUGUAUAUAUAGGGGUUGCUGCUGUCGGCAAAUAAUUUUCCGGUGCAGGCGCAUUUAUUGGACCCAAUGGGGCAGCUGCCAGGCGAUGCAUGAGGGGCUGUUGUAGAUGAGAGACUGCAGCUGGCUUUUAGAUAAGUCUUAAGUUUA